rnacentral:rRNA from 1 species
UACGGGGGGGGCAAGCGUUGUUCGGAAUUACUGGGCGUAAAGGGCUCGUAGGUGGCCAACUAAGUCGGACGUGAAAUCCCUCGGCUUAACCGGGGAACUGCGUCCGAUACUGGUUGGCUUGAGUUUGGGAGAGGGAUGCGGAAUUCCAGGUGUAGCGGUGAAAUGCGUAGAUAUCUGGAGGAACACCGGUGGCGAAGGCGGGUCUCUGGGCCGAUACUGACGCUGAGGAGCGAAAGCGUGGGGAGCGAACAGG